UGAAUACGAGACGCUAAGGCGUCGAAGUAGUGUAUGUCAUACUUCCAAGAAAAGCUUGCACUGUCAUAGAUAAAAAACGCCUGUACCAUAACCGACACAGGUGGGUAGGUAGAGUAUACUAAGGGGCGCGAGAUAACUCUCUCUAAGGAACUCGGCAAAAUAACUCCGUAACUGCGGGAGAAGGAGUGCCUUAUUCGUAAGGUUGCAAUAACAAGAUCCAAGCAACUGUUUAUCAAAAACACAGGUCUCCGCUAAGUCGUAAGACGAUGUAUGGGGGCUGACGCCUGCCCAGUGCCGGAAGGUUAAAGAAGUUGGUUAGCAAUUGCGAAGCUGAUAACUGAAGCCCUGGUGAACGGCGGCCGUAACAAUAACGGUCCUAAGGUAGCGAAAUUCCUUGUCGGGUAAGUUCCGACCCGCACGAAAGGCGUAAUGAUUUGGAUACUGUCUCGGAGAGGGGCUCGGUGAAAUAGACUUGUCUGUGAAGAUGCGGACUACCUGCACCAGGACAGAAAGACCCUAUGAAGCUUUACUGUAACUUGAAAUUGAAAUUGGACUUUAUUCGCGCAGCAUAGGUGGGAGGCGUUGAUUAUAAUCUUGCGGGAUUAUUGGAGCCAUCAGUGAGAUACCACUCUUGUAAUGUUAGAUUUCUAACUUUGAAUCAUUAUCUGGUCAAAGAACAGUUCCAGGCGGGCAGUUUGACUGGGGCGGUCGCCUCCUAAACGGUAACGGAGGCGUACAAAGGUUUCCUCUGAACGGUUAGAAAUCGUAUCUAGAGUGUAAAGGCAUAAGGAAGCUUGACUGUGAGACCUACAAGUCGAGCAGGGACGAAAGUCGGUCUUAGUGAUCUGACGGUACUGAGUGGAAAGGCCGUCACUCAACGGAUAAAAGUUACUCUAAGGAUAACAGGCUGAUCUCCCCCAAGAGUUCACAUCGACGGGGAGGUUUGGCACCUCGAUGUCGGCUCAUCGCAUCCUGGGGCGGUAGUACGUCCCAAGGGUUGGGCUGUUCGCCCAUGAAAGCGGUACGCGAGCUGGGUUCAGAACGUCGUGAGACAGUUCGGUCCAUAUCCGGUGUAGGCGUUAGAAUAUUGAGAGGAGCCUUCUUUAGUACGAGAGGACCGAGAAGGACAUACCUCUGGUGUACCAGUUAUCGUGCCAACGGUAAACGCUGGGUAGCUAUGUAUGGAGUGGAUAACCGCUGAAAGCAUCUAAGUGGGAAGCCCACCUCAAGAUAAGUAUUCUC
rnacentral:rRNA from 1 species